GGGAGAAUCGCUUGAACCUGGGAGGUGGAGGUUGCAGUGAGCUGAGAUCACGCCACUGCACUCCAGCCUGGGUGACAGAGUGAGACUCUGUCUC
rnacentral:miRNA from 1 species